CCAUAGUUUCAGCAGCGAUGACAUCACUAGAGACACGAGCUCUCCUGAUUGGUCCGUUCAGUGUCCCUCAGCAGGUGCGUCAGGUUAUUUCUCGUCUGUAAAUGAUGCUCAUGAGUCUCUUCAUGAUUUUAUCUUGUGCUUCUUUCUAUCAGAAUCUCCAGAGACGCUGAGACUCAGCUCUUCAUCAGGCUGUUCGAUGUCUCCCUCUCCUCCACCCAGAGCAGCAGCAGCGCCCCCUGCUGGCCGGAGGAUCACGCAGCUCCGCACUCGGAGGCUCAGAGCUCAUGAUGCAGACGUCAGUAAAGCGAGAGCAUCAGAGGAGACUCAUGGGACUGAGAGCACCAUGACUGUGUGUCCUCAAAUCAUCCACAAACCUCACAGACCCUCCACCAGUCCUCUAAGAGCACAACGGUCAGAAGCUACUGAGGAUCAUCAACACUCAGACACCCAACAUAAACCAGUAAUAGUCUCUGAAAAACUAAUGCCCAGACGCCCACAAACAGCCAGAGCUGCACUGCAGAGACUUCCAGACCGGAAACACUCGCCUGAAGUGAUGCAUUAAGUAUUUCAGGUUUGAUUGACAGGAGAGUCUCAGCACAGAUAUCAUGUGAUCACUGACAGACUGCAGAUCUGUUGGAGCAUGAUGUCAGGUGACUGUGAUUGUGAACUCUGAUCUCCAGCAGCACAGCUUCAUCUCUGGUGGAUCGCUAGCAUGUCUGCUCUUGUAGGUUCAGUGUUUGCAGACGCAGGUGCAGGACUGUUAUUCCACGCGUCUCUGAAUGAUUUUCCACAGAUGACACACAGAUAACAGUGUUGUUCUGACAAACACCGCAUCAUUUAUCCGGCCACAGUCUCCACAGGCUCCGAGUCUUUUAACC
ensembl:lncRNA